UUGCUCGCACAAAUCCCUAAAUCGGAACAGUACAGAGAAGAUGACGCAGCCCUUGUGCAAGAACGACACACAAAUUUUCCAAGUGUUCUACACUUCU
rnacentral:snRNA from 1 species